rnacentral:lncRNA from 1 species
CCUAUCCGCCCAAGGCUCAUCACAUGUACAUUUUCAUCAAUAGAGAAAAGCACUAGCGGAAACAUACACAAGCGGCUUACACGAGGGUAAGCAGUAGCCACAAGUGAAAGAAAAAGGAAACUAAACAUUUACAAGUACUAUGAUUCAUUUUUGAUCAUAUACAUUGCAUCCAUUUACAUUCAUGAUUCUUGUACUUCAUUACACAUUGUAUCAUUUCUUUCUUACAUCACAUUUACCUCAAAAUAAGCUUUACAUUCUUUUCUCAACAUCACUAGUCAUCAAAUACAAAGAUGAACAAAGGGUACUCUACCAACAAAAUGUAAACCCAACUCAACUCUGGUGGCCUCUGUCUAAGGCGCGAUACCUUUACCUCGGUCGCUCGCCGGCUCGCUCGGUCCCGGCUCUGUGGAAAUAGUGGGGUGAGAAC